rnacentral:rRNA from 1 species
UCGGGAAUUUUGCGCAAUGGGCGGAAGCCUGACGCAGCAACGCCGCGUGGAGGAAGAAGGCCUCCGGGUCGUAAACUCCUGUCCCCGGGGAAGAAGCCAGUGACGGUACCCGGGGAGGAAGCCCCGGCUAACUCCGUGCCAGCAGCCGCGGUAAUACGGGGGGGGCGAGCGUUGUUCGGAUUUACUGGGCGUAAAGGGCGCGUAGGCGGCCCGAGAAGUUCUGGGUGAAAGCCCCCGGCUCAACCGGGGAAGCGCCUGGAAAACCAUCGGGCUGGAGUGCUGGAGAGGCAAGCGGAAUUUCUGGUGUAGCGGUGAAAUGCGUAGAUAUCAGAAGGAACACCUGCGGCGAAGGCGGCUUGCUGGACAGACACUGACGCUGAGGCGCGAAAGCCAGGGGAGCAA